rnacentral:lncRNA from 1 species
AAAAAAAGUGAAAGCAAAGCAGAAAAAACCGAGAAAAAGCAGAAAGCAAAAGGGAGGCUUUCCUCUGCGAGAACACAUGAAGACACUGCAAAAGCAAGGAAUAAACACCCUACCAGAAUGAUGUGAUUUACUUUUCUUGUUUUUGAAUGAUGUGAUUUAUUUUUCUUAUCUUUCGGAGAUAUCUGUAUAACCCCAUCAGAGGGUAACAAAAAAACACGGCAAGCCCAAAAUAAUGGGGUUGAAUGUUAUGGGCGAAGGCCCAUAUGCCCAAGAGAGCCAGGCUCUCUAUUAUCACCAA